GACGAACGCUGGCGGCGUGCCUAAUACAUGCAAGUCGAGCGGACCAAACAGGAGCUUGCUCUUGUUUGGUUAGCGGCGGACGGGUGAGUAACACGUGGGUAACCUGCCCGUAAGACCGGGAUAACUCCGGGAAACCGGAGCUAAUACCGGAUAACACCGAAGACCGCAUGGUCUUUGGUUGAAAGGCGGCUUCGGCUGCCACUUACGGAUGGGCCCGCGGCGCAUUAGCUAGUUGGUGAGGUAACGGCUCACCAAGGCGACGAUGCGUAGCCGGCCUGAGAGGGUGACCGGCCACACUGGGACUGAGACACGGCCCAGACUCCUACGGGAGGCAGCAGUAGGGAAUCUUCCGCAAUAGACGAAAGUCUGACGGAGCGACGCCGCGUGAGCGAAGAAGGUCUUCGGAUCGUAAAGCUCGGUUGUUAGGGAAGAAGAAGCGCCGUUCGAACAGGGCGGCGCGGUGACGGUACCUAACGAGAAAGCCCCGGCUAACUACGUG
rnacentral:rRNA from 1 species